rnacentral:rRNA from 1 species
CAUGGGAGUCUUACACUCCCGGGUAAGGGAGUGUGGCGGACGGCUGAGUAACACGUGGCUAACCUACCCUCGGGACGGGGAUAACCCCGGGAAACUGGGGAUAAUCCCCGAUAGGGAAGGAGUCCUGGAAUGGUUCCUUCCCUAAAGGGCUAUAGGCUAUUUCCCGUUUGUAGCCGCCCGAGGAUGGGGCUACGGCCCAUCAGGCUGUCGGUGGGGUAAAGGCCCACCGAACCUAUAACGGGUAGGGGCCGUGGAAGCGGGAGCCUCCAGUUGGGCACUGAGACAAGGGCCCAGGCCCUACGGGGCGCACCAGGCGCGAAACGCCCCCAACGCGCGAAAGCGUGAGGGCGCUACCCCGAGUGCCUCCGCAAGGAGGCCUUUCCCCGCUCUAAAAAGGCGGGGGAAUAAUUCUGGGGCAAGUCUGGUGACACCCGCCGCGGCUAAUACCAGCCUCCGCCGAGGUGGUCGGGGGUGAUCACUGGGCCUUAAAGUCGCUCUGAUAUCCUGCCCAUCCAA